GUGGGGAAUCUUAGACAAUGGGGGCAACCCUGAUCUAGCCAUGCCGCGUGAGUGAUGAAGGCCUUAGGGUUGUAAAGCUCUUUCAGUGGGGAAGAUAAUGACGGUACCCACAGAAGAAGCCCCGGCUAACUCCGUGCCAGCAGCCGCGGUAAUACGGAGGGGGCUAGCGUUGUUCGGAAUUACUGGGCGUAAAGCGCACGUAGGCGGAUCGGAAAGUUGGGGGUGAAAUCCCAGGGCUCAACCCUGGAACUGCCUUCAAAACUAUCGGUCUGGAGUCCGAGAGAGGUGAGUGGAAUUCCGAGUGUAGAGGUGAAAUUCGUAGAUAUUCGGAGGAACACCAGUGGCGAAGGCGGCUCACUGGCUCGGUACUGACGCUGAGGUGCGAAAGCGUGGGGAGCAAACAGGAUUAGAAACCCCGGUAGUCC
rnacentral:rRNA from 1 species